UACGGAGGAUCCGAGCGUUAUCCGGAUUUAUUGGGUUUAAAGGGAGCGUAGGUGGGAAGACAAGUUGAAUGUUUAAACUAUCGGCUCAACCGAUAAUCGCGUUCAAAACUGUUUUUCUUGAGUGAAGUAGAGGCAGGCGGAAUUCCUAGUGUAGCGGUGAAAUGCGUAGAUAUUAGGAGGAACACCAGUGGCGAAGGCGGCUUACUGGACUGUAACUGACGUUGAGGCUCGAAAGCGUGGGGAGCAAACAGG
rnacentral:rRNA from 1 species